rnacentral:rRNA from 1 species
ACGGGUGCGUAACACGUGAGCAAUCUGCCCUUUACAGGGGGAUAGCCCGUAGAAAUGCGGAUUAAUACCCCAUAGUACUAUUGGAUCGCAUGAUUUGGUAGUUAAAGAUUCGUCGGUAAAGGAUGGGCAUGCGUGACAUUAGCUUGUUGGUGAGGUAACGGCUCACCAAGGCUACGAUGUCUAGGGGUUCUGAGAGGAAGAUCCCCCACACUGGUACUGAGACACGGACCAGACUCCUACGGGAGGCAGCAGUGAGGAAUAUUGGUCAAUGGGCGCGAGCCUGAACCAGCCAUCCCGCGUGCAGGAAGAAUGCCCUAUGGGUUGUAAACUGCUUUUUCGCAUGAAGAACACUCCGGACGUGUCUGGAGCUGACGGUAGUGCGUGAAUAAGCACCGGCUAACUCCGUGCCAGCAGCCGCGGUAAUACGGAGGGUGCAAGCGUUAUCCGGAUUUAUUGGGUUUAAAGGGUGCGUAGGCGGCAUUUUAAGUCAGUGGUGAAAUCCUGCAGCUUAACUGUAGAACAGCCAUUGAAACUGAAGUACUUGAGUAAUCUUGAAGUAGGCGGAAUGUGUAGUGUAGCGGUGAAAUGCUUAGAUAUUACACAGAACACCGAUUGCGAAGGCAGCUUACUAAGGAUUUACUGACGCUGAUGCACGAAAGCGUGGGGAUCAAACAGGAUUAGAUACCCUGGUAGUCCACGCCGUAAAC